ensembl:snRNA U2 U2 spliceosomal RNA
AUCACUUCUUGGCCUUGUGGCUAAGAUCAAGUGUAGUAUCUGUUCUUAUCAGUUUAAUAUCUGGUAUGUCCUGUAUCCGAGGACAAUAUAUUAAAUGGAUUUUUGAAAUUAAGAGAUGGAAUAGGAACUUGCUCUAUCCACUCCACGCAUCGACCUGGUAUUACAGUACUUCUAGGAAUGAUGCACGCACG